rnacentral:rRNA from 1 species
AUUGAACGCUGGCGGCAGGCCUAACACAUGCAAGUCGAGCGGAGUGGCGGACGGGUGAGUAAUGCCUAGGAAUCGGCCUCGGCGCGGUGGAUAACGUCCGGUAACGGGAGCUAAUACUACUUACUAUCAGCUGCGCCUAGGUCGGAUUGGCUUGUUGGUGGGGUAAAGGCCUACCAAGGCGACGAUCCGUAACUGGUCUGAGAGGAUGAGCAGUCACACUGGAACUGAGACACGGUCCAGACUCCUACGGGAGGCAGCAGUGGGGAAUAUUGCACAAUGGGCGCAAGCCUGAUGCAGCCAUGCCGCGUGUGUGAAGAAGGCCUUCGGGUUGUAAAGCACUUUCAGCGGGGAGGCGUUACCCGCAGAAGAAGCACCGGCUAACUCCGUGCCAGCAGCCGCGGUAAUUC